GGUGCAAAUGAUGUUUUUAAGCGAUCAAAGCAUGAUAGUAUAUGAUUAUGACUAUAUUAUACUGAUGCACC